GGUAGAGGCAGUGGCGCUUGAGUUGGUCGGGGGCAGCGGCAGAUGAGGAAACUGAGGCUUGGUGAAGUUACGAAACUUGUCCAAAAUCACACAACUUGUAAAGGGCACAGCCAAGAUUCAGAGCCAGGCUGUAAAAAUUAAAAUGAACAAACUACGGCAAAGUUUUAGGAGAAAGAAGGAUGUUUAUGUUCCAGAGGCCAGUCGUCCACAUCAGUGGCAGACAGAUGAAGAAGGCGUUCGCACUGGAAAAUGUAGCUUCCCGGUUAAGUACCUUGGCCAUGUAGAAGUUGAUGAAUCAAGAGGAAUGCACAUCUGUGAAGAUGCUGUAAAAAGAUUGAAAGCUGUAUGUAUUUGAUGGUUGCCAGUGUUGAUCUAUAUGCUAUCAAUAUUU
rnacentral:lncRNA from 1 species